UUUGCCAGCCGCCGGGAAGUCGCAGCCACUUUACCCACGUCGGCUAUAUGGCAGCAACCGCUGCCAGCGCUUGUUUUGGUAAUGCCUUUCUCCCAUUUAUGGGCUACGCUGAUUGGCUGAUAGGGUGGCCCGACGCAUAGCGGGCCGGUUU
rnacentral:sRNA from 1 species